UACGUAGGGGGCUAGCGUUGUCCGGAAUCAUUGGGCGUAAAGCGCGCGUAGGCGGCCAGAUAAGUCCGGUGUGAAAGUCACAGGCUCAACCUGUGAAUGCCGCUGGAAACUGUCUGGCUAGAGUCCGGAAGGGGCGAGUGGAAUUCCUGGUGUAGCGGUGAAAUGCGCAGAUAUCAGGAGGAACACCAGUGGCGAAGGCGGCUACCUGGACCAGCACUGACACUGAGGCACGAAAGCGUGGGGAGCAAACAGG
rnacentral:rRNA from 1 species